rnacentral:snRNA from 1 species
AUUGCUUCUCAGCCUUUUGGCUAAGACCAAGUGUAGUAUCUGCUCUUAUCAGUUUAAUAUAAAUAUUAGUUGAGAAGUCACAAUGUGCUAGGCCCUGUGUUGAAUGCUA